CAGGAUGAACGCUAGCUACAGGCUUAACACAUGCAAGUCGAGGGGUAGUAGGGUAGCAAUACCGCUGACGACCGGCGCACGGGUGAGUAACACGUAUCCAACCUUCCCAUAACUCAGGGAUAGCCUUUCGAAAGAAAGAUUAAUACCUGAUAGUGCUUUUUCAAGGCAUCUUGAGAAGUUAAAGAUUUAUUGGUUAUGGAUGGGGAUGCGUUCCAUUAGAUAGUUGGUGAGGUAACGGCUCACCAAGUCUUCGAUGGAUAGGGGUUCUGAGAGGAAGGUCCCCCACAUUGGUACUGAGACACGGACCAAACUCCUACGGGAGGCAGCAGUGAGGAAUAUUGGUCAAUGGGCGAGAGCCUGAACCAGCCAAGUAGCGUGAAGGAUGAAGGUCCUAUGGAUUGUAAACUUCUUUUAUAGUAGAAUAAAGUGAUCCACGUGUGGAUUUUUGUAUGUAUACUAUGAAUAAGGAUCGGCUAACUCCGUGCCAGCAGCGGC
rnacentral:rRNA from 1 species